rnacentral:misc_RNA from 1 species
GGACACUGGAAAAACCAAUGAAUAUGCCGAGAUCGUCAGCUAAGAACUCGUCAACUAGGAAUGGUAAGGUCAGAGAUCAUGAUUCAGAGGAUAGUGAUACAUCUUUAAAAUUGGGACUGAAGAAUAUGGAGGCUCCUAAUUCUUUGAAAAUGCCAUUGCCAACUAGGAAUUGUAAGGGCCGUGAGGUAGAUUCAGAAGACAGUGAUACAUCAUUGAAACUGGGGCUAAGGAAUGCAGAAGUUCAUAAAUCUAUGAAAGGGGCAAGCAUUGGUGGUGAAAUAACCACAUGCGAUCAGUUUCCAUCUACUAGAGUUAAGGAAGGCAAAGUUAAGCGUGGUAGUGGCACAGAAAAGCAGAAGUUGCGAGAACGAAUCAGGGGAAUGCUUCUGAAUGCAGGCUGGACGAUAGACUAUAGACCAAGAAGGAACAGAGA